rnacentral:rRNA from 1 species
GCUUACAGCCAUAUCACUCUGACCAUGCCCAAUCUUGUCUGAUCUCAGGAGCUAAGUAGGGCUGGGCCUGGUUUGUAGGAUGGGAGACCACCUGGGAAUACUAGGUGCUGUAAGCU